rnacentral:rRNA from 1 species
AAUAGAUACCCGGGUAGUCCAUGCCGUAAACGUUGGGCACUAGGUGUGGGGCUCAUUCCACGAGUUCCGUGCCGCAGCAAGCGCAUUAAGUGCCCCGCCUGGGGAGUACGGCCGCAAGGCUAAAACUCAAAGAAAUUGACGGGGGCCCGCACAAGCGGCGGAGCAUGCGGAUUAAUUCGAUGCAACGCGAAGAACCUUACCAAGGCUUGACAUACACCGGAAAAGUGCAGAGAUGUGCUCCCCGCAAGGUCGGUGUACAGGUGGUGCAUGGUUGUCGCCAGCUCGUGUCGUGAGAUGUUGGGUUAAGUCCCGCAACGAGCGCAACCCUCGUCCCAUGUUGCCAGCGGGUUAUGCCGGGGACGUCAUGGGAGACUGGCCGGGGUCAACUCGGAGGAAGGUGGGGAUGACGUCAAAUCAUCAUGCCCCUUAUGUCUUGGGCUUCACGCAUGCUACAAUGGCCGGUACAAAGGGCUGCGAUACCGCAAGGUGGAGCGAAUCCCAAAAAGCCGGUCUCAGUUCGGAUUGGGGUCUG